rnacentral:rRNA from 1 species
AGUGAGCGCUGGCGGUAGGCCUAACACAUGCAAGUCGAACGGCAGCACAGUAAGAGCUUGCUCUUACGGGUGGCGAGUGGCGGACGGGUGAGGAAUACAUCGGAAUCUACUUUUUCGUGGGGGAUAACAUAGGGAAACUUACGCUAAUACCGCAUACGACCUACGGGUGAAAGCAGGGGAUCUUCGGACCUUGCGCGAUUGAAUGAGCCGAUGUCGGAUUAGCUAGUUGGCGGGGUAAAGGCCCACCAAGGCGACGAUCCGUAGCUGGUCUGAGAGGAUGAUCAGCCACACUGGAACUGAGACACGGUCCAGACUCCUACGGGAGGCAGCAGUGGGGAAUAUUGGACAAUGGGCGCAAGCCUGAUCCAGCCAUACCGCGUGGGUGAAGAAGGCCUUCGGGUUGUAAAGCCCUUUUGUUGGGAAAGAAAAGCAGCAGGUUAAUACCCCGCUGUUCUGACGGUACCCAAAGAAUAAGCACCGGCUAACUUCGUG